rnacentral:rRNA from 1 species
UGGGGAAUCUUCCGCAAUGGACGAAAGUCUGACGGAGCAACGCCGCGUGAGUGAUGACGGUCUUCGGAUUGUAAAGCUCUGUUAAUCGGGACGAAAGAGCUCUGUGUGAAUAAUGCAGAGAAGUGACGGUACCGGAAUAGAAAGCCACGGCUAACUACGUGCCAGCAGCCGCGGUAAUACGUAGGUGGCAAGCGUUGUCCGGAAUUAUUGGGCGUAAAGCGCGCGCAGGCGGGUUUUUAAGUCUGUCUUAAAAGUUCGGGGCUUAACCCCGUGAGGGGAUGGAAACUGGAAACCUAGAGUAUCGGAGAGGAAAGCGGAAUUCCUAGUGUAGCGGUGAAAUGCGUAGAUAUUAGGAAGAACACCAGUGGCGAAGGCGGCUUUCUGGACGAAAACUGACGCU